AGAGCACCAAUUAUGCUAAUAAAUUAGCACGUUAGCACGUUAUUGUAAUAUCCCAUAGUACAUACAUGUUAUUAAAACUUGAACUAAUGCACUGUGAGUCUUAUAAAUUGCUUACAUACCUCACCGAUUUCUGCAUGUCUGGAAAACGCUCGGUUUAGUUCCUGUCUCCGCCUCCCAAAAUGUCUAGUGUAUUCGGAUUGGUCAGAUGACUACUCAACUGUUAUUGGUCAACUGGGUUCGGCGUGUGUUUGAAAGGUUACGCCCCUGACUACGCGUGGAUUUUCCGGUUCUGACUGAGAGUCACAGGCAACGUAAACAAGCGCUAUAUUUCUCUAUAAACGAUGGUGUCUGUACUGCCUUACCACUUCAAGCUCGAUCCAGAGAGUUCAGACGGCCGUUACGAUGUAAACGAUCUCCGUCAAUGAACGCGAUUGGAUUUAACUUUUUUAGGUGUCCUUAGCUCUGCCAGAAUGCUAAACGAAGACGAAAAUGUGUUGCAAAGACAUCCAAAAGGUUUUAAGGAGAAUGCAACAUGUUCCAGGGCCUCUUACCUGCGUGAUUCAUCAUCCAGGUUUUGCACAAAUUGUCUAAAUCCCUACACACAGAACAUUUAUUGUACCGACUAUAAGCCUUUGAGGUGCAGGACUAGAAUACGCUUGGAGCUUCCUGAUCAGAUCGGUCACAAUUUUGGCUUUCGACGACCCCUGCACUGAAGAUGGCAUGCAAUCACGUCCUCCUUUGAAGGUCUCUCAAACUGUGAUG